AGUGAACGCUGGCGGUAGGCCUAACACAUGCAAGUCGAACGGCAGCACAGUAAGAGCUUGCUCUUACGGGUGGCGAGUGGCGGACGGGUGAGGAAUACAUCGGAAUCUACUUUUUCGUGGGGGAUAACGUAGGGAAACUUACGCUAAUACCGCAUACGACCUACGGGUGAAAGCAGGGGAUCUUCGGACCUUGCGCGAUUGAAUGAGCCGAUGUCGGAUUAGCUAGUUGGCGGGGUAAAGGCCCACCAAGGCGACGAUCCGUAGCUGGUCUGAGAGGAUGAUCAGCCACGCUGGAACUGAGACACGGUCCAGACUCCUACGGGAGGCAGCAGUGGGGAAUAUUGGACAAUGGGCGCAAGCCUGAUCCAGCCAUACUGCGUGGGUGAAGAAGGCCUUCGGGUUGUAAAGCCCUUUUGUUGGGAAAGAAAAGCAGCAGGUUAAUACCCCGCUGUUCUGACGGUACCCAAAGAAUAAGCACCGGCUAACUUCGUG
rnacentral:rRNA from 1 species